rnacentral:rRNA from 1 species
UGGGGGAUAUUGCACAAUGGGGGAAACCCUGAUGCAGCGAUGCCGCGUGGAGGAAGAAGGUUUUCGGAUUGUAAACUCCUGUCUUUGGGGACGAUAAUGACGGUACCCAAGGAGGAAGCUCCGGCUAACUACGUGCCAGCAGCCGCGGUAAUACGUAGGGAGCAAGCGUUGUCCGGAAUUACUGGGUGUAAAGGGAGCGUAGGCGGGAUGGCAAGUCAGGUGUGAAAACUAUGGGCUCAACUCAUAGAUUGCACUUGAAACUGUUGUUCUUGAGUGAAGUAGAGGUAAGCGGAAUUCCUGGUGUAGCGGUGAAAUGCGUAGAUAUCAGGAGGAACACCGGUGGCGAAGGCAGCUCACUGGGGUACAACUGACACUGAGGCUCGAAAGUGUGGGUAUCAAACAGG